GACGAACGCUGGCGGCGUGCCUAAUACAUGCAAGUCGACCUUAGUGGCGGACGGGUUAGUAAAGCCUAGGAAUCUGCCUGGUAGUGGGGGAUAACGUCAUGAAACGGGCGCUAAUACCUCUUACUAUCAGAUGAGCCUAGGUCGGAUUAGCUAGUUGGUGGGGUAAAGGCCUACCAAGGCGACGAUGCGUAACUGGUCUGAGAGGAUGAUCGGUCACACUGGAACUGAGACACGGUCCAGACUCCUACGGGAGGCAGCAGUGGGGAAUAUUGGACAAUGGGCGAAAGCCUGAUCCAGCCAUGCCGCGUGUGUGAAGAAGGUCUUCGGGUUGUAAAGCACUUUCAGUUGGGAGGCGUUACCAACAGAAUAAGCACCGGCUAACUUCGUGCCAGCAGCCGCGGUAAUAC
rnacentral:rRNA from 1 species